rnacentral:rRNA from 1 species
CCAGACUCCUACGGGAGGCAGCAGUAGGGAAUUUUGCGCAAUGGGCGAAAGCCUGACGCAGCAACGCCGCGUGGAGGAUGACGGUCUUCGGAUUGUAAACUCCUGUCGUGAGGGAAGAAACGCCGAUUGGUCGGNCUGACGGUACCUCACAAGAAAGCCCCGGCUAACUUCGUGCCAGCAGCCGCGGUAAUACGAGGGGGGCUAGUGUUGUUCGGAUUUACUGGGUGUAAAGGGAGUGCAGGCGGAUCGGCAAGUCAGGGGUGAAAAGCUCACGCUCAACGUGAUGCACUGCCUUUGAAACUGCCGACCUUGAGUGUUGGAGAGGGUGAUGGAAUUCCAGGUGUAGCGGUGGAAUGCGUAGAUAUCUGGAAGAACACCAGUUGCGAAGGCGAUCACCUGGCCAAACACUGACGCUGAGGCUCGAAAGCUGGGGGAGCAAACAGGAUUAGAUACCCUGGUAGUCCCAGCCCUAAACGAUGGACACUAGGUGUUGGUGGAGUUAACCCCAUCAGCGCCGAAGUUAACGCAUUAAGUGUCCCACCUGGGGAGUACGGUCGCACGGCUGAAACUCAAAGGAAUUGACGGGGGCCCGCACAAGCGGUGGAGCAUGUGGUUCAAUUCGAAGCAACGCGAAGAACCUUACCUGGGCUUGACAUGGAGAGGACCAUCCUCAGAGAUGAGGACCUCUGUAGCAAUACAGACCUCUCACACAGGUGCUGCAUGGCUGUCGUCAGCUCGUGUCGUGAGAUAUUGGGUUAAGUCCCGCAACGAGCGCAACCCUUGUCCUUAGUUGCCAUCAGGUUAAGCUGGGCACUCUAGGGAGACUGCCAGUAAUAAACUGGAGGAAGGUGGGGAUGACGUCAAGUCCUCAUGGCCCUUACGUCCAGGGCUACACACGUGCUACAAUGAUCUGUACAACGGGUUGCGAUCCCGCAAGGAGGAGCUAAUCCCUUAAAACAGGUCUCAGUCCGGAUUGGAGUCUGCAACUCGACUCCAUGAAGUUGGAAUCGCUAGUAAUCGCGGAUCAGCAUGCCGCGGUGAAUCCGUUCCCGGGCCUUGUACACACCGCCCGUCAAGCCAUGGAAGCCGGAUGUACCCAACGUCGCCUGUUUAACC